rnacentral:rRNA from 1 species
CGGUUGAUCCUGCCGGAGGACAUUGCUAUUGGGAUUCGAUUUAGCCAUGCUAGUCGAGCGAGUUUAGACUCGCGGCGAAUAGCUCAGUAACACGUGGCCAAGCUCCCCUUCAGUCAGCGAUACCCUCGGGAAACUGAGGUUAACAGCUGAUACAAAACGCCAGCUGGAAUGCGGCGUUUCAGAAAGACAUCGCUGAAGGAUGCGGCUGCGGCCGAUUAGGUAGACGGUGGAGUAACGGCCCACCGUGCCAGUAAUCGGUACGGGUGAUGAGAGUCAGAGCCCGGAGACGGAAUCUGAGACAAGAUUCCGGGCCCUACGGGGCGCAGCAGGCGCGAAACCUUUACACUGCACGGAAGUGCGAUAGGGGAAUCCCAAGUGCGAGGGCAUAUUAGCCCUCGCUUUUCUCGACUGUAAGGUGGUCGACGAAUAAGAGCUGGGCAAGACCGGUGCCAGCCGCCGCGGUAAUACCGGCAGCUCAAGUGAUGUCCCAUGUUAUUGGGCCUAAAGCGUCCGUAGCUGGCCGACCAAGUCUACCGGGAAAUCCACCCGCCCAACGGGUGGGCGUCCGGUAGAAACUGGCCGGCUUGGAACCGGAAGGCUCAGAGAGUACGUCCGGGGUAGGAGUGAAAUCCUGUAAUCCCGGACGGACUACCGAUGGCGAAAGCACUCUGAGAAGACGGCUUCGACAGUGAGGGACGAAAGCUCGGGUCUCAAACCGGAUUAGAUACCCGGGUAGUC